rnacentral:rRNA from 1 species
CCUACGGGAGGCAGCAGUGGGGGAUAUUGGACAAUGGGGGGAACCCUGAUGCAGCGACGCCGCGUGAGUGAAGAAGUAUUUCGGUAUGUAAAGCUCUGUCAGCAGGGAAGAAAGAAAUGACGUUACCUGACCAAGAAGCCGCGGCUAACUACGUGCCAGCAGCCGCGGUACUACGUAGGGGGCAAGCGUUAUCCGGAAUUACUGGGUGCAAGGGGAGCGUAGACGGUGUAGUAAGUCUGGAGUGAAAGGCCGGGGCGCAACCCCGGGACUGCUCUGGAAACUAUUGAACUUGAGUGCAGGAGAGGUAAGCGGAAUUCCUGGUGUAGCGGUGAAAUGCGUAGAGAUCAGGAGGAACACCAGUGGCGAAGGCGGCUUACUGGACUGUAACUGACGUUGAGGCUCGAAAGCGUGGGGAGCAAACAGGAUUAGAUACCCGAGUAGUC